CCUGGUAGCUCAGACGGUAAAGCGUCUGCCUGCAAUGCGGGAGACCCAGGUUCGAUCCCUGGGUCAGGA
rnacentral:tRNA from 1 species